GGAAUUUCCCCCUACAACCUCCCGGCAGGGUUUUGAAAUCCGUUUCCCCCCCAGGGGGGGGAACACCCUCUCAGGCCGCGUACCCGUUGUGACCCUUGUGAGCAGUUACCUCUCCCAAAAGCUGGGGGGAGGGGAGCGCCUCCCGUAGCGGGUUUCCGCCCCGUUCUCCCACAGAGGGACCGGAAAAGGUAUAUUAAGGAUUUAGCCCAAAUUGUCCGGAGUUUCCCCGUUGACAAAGGGGGAGCGGCUCCGCGGGAUGCGCCCCAUCAGCCGUAUUCCCUCACAACAAGGAUCCCCAUCACCGGCACGUCGAGCCUUGGUAAGUAUGGCCGCCCCGCUGCGAAUUCCCACACCCGGUGCACAGAUUCUCCGGGCCCCCGUCAAAAAGUUUGAGUUUCAGCCUUGCCGCCGUACUCCCCUGGCGGGGUGCCUAUAAGGUGUCUUUCGGCACGGCAAGUUUCGGCUCCACACACCUAGCCCCCAUCGAUUACAGCGUGGACUACCGGGGAAUAUAAUCCUGUUUGCUCCCCACGCUCUCGCGCCUCAGAGUCAGGGUCAGUCCAGGGAGUAGCUUUAGCCACUGGUAUUCCUCCCGAUAUAUACGCAUUUCACCGCUACACCGGGAAUUCCACUCCCCUCUCCUGCCCUCUAGCCUAGCAGUUUCAGGUGCACCUCCACGGUUGAGCCGUGGUCUUUUACACCUGACUUGCUAGACCGCCUACGCGCCCUUUACGCCCAGUAACUCCGGACAACGCUCGCCCCCUACGUCUUACCGCGGCUGCUGGCACGUAGUAGCCGGGGCUUUCGUGUGGUACCGUCAUCCCUUCUUCCCACACUAUCGAGCUUUACGACCCGAAGGCCUUCUUCGCUCACGCGGCGUCGCUCCGUCAGGCUUUCGCCCAUUGCGGAAGAUUCCCCACUGCUGCCUCCCGUAGGAGUCUGGGCCGUGUCUCAGUCCCAGUGUGGCCGACCACCCUCUCAGGCCGGCUACCCGUCGUAGCCUUGGUGAGCCGUUACCUCACCAACUAGCUGAUGGGACGCGAGCCCAUCCUUGAGCGGCUUCCCGCCCUUUCCUCCAUCAGGAUGCCCUAAUAGAGUAUAUCAGGUAUUAGCCCCGGUUUCCCAGGGUUAUCCCUGUCUCAAGGGUAGGUUGCUCACGCGUUACUCACCCGUCCGCCGCUAAACCUGCCAAAACAUAACGCCUUGACAGGCCCGCUCGACUUGCAUGUGUUAGGCACGCCGCCAGCGUUCGUCCUGAGCCAGGAUCAAACUCU
rnacentral:rRNA from 1 species